rnacentral:rRNA from 1 species
GAUGAACGCUGGCGGCGUGCCUAAUACAUGCAAGUCGAGCGAACAGACGAGGAGCUUGCUCCUCUGACGUUAGCGGCGGACGGGUGAGUAACGCGUGGAUAACCUACCUAUAAGACUGGGAUAACUUCGGGAAACCGGAGCUAAUACCGGAUAAUACAUUGAACCGCAUGGUUCAAUAGUGAAAGACGGUUUUGCUGUCACUUAUAGAUGGAUCCGCGCCGCAUUAGCUAGUUGGUAAGGUAACGGCUUACCAAGGCAACGAUGCGUAGCCGACCUGAGAGGGUGAUCGGCCACACUGGAACUGAGACACGGUCCAGACUCCUACGGGAGGCAGCAGUAGGGAAUCUUCCGCAAUGGGCGAAAGCCUGACGGAGCAACGCCGCGUGAAUGAUGAAGGUCUUCGGAUCGUAAAACUCUGUUAUUAGGGAAGAACAAAUGUGUAAGUAACUAUGCACGUCUUGACGGUACCUAAUCAGAAAGCCACGGCUAACUACGUG